CGUUGGUUUUCCCGUUUGAAUGGUUUUACACUAGUAAUUUUGGGGCCCUUUAUAGCUUGUUGUUCGGUGUGAGUCAAGGCUCCGUGUUGAAGGCCGUACAUUGACCUAUAAUGGUUUACUUUUAUAAAUUGUUAUUUGGAUGGAGAGUUGUCUCAUUGGCACUCAUACCACAUCUUCCUAUAUCUAUUAAUAAAGAAAGAAUCUUGGCAUUUUUUACUCUUCGUGUAUCUAACUUUUGUUUUGAUCAAUUAUAAAAAAUACGCG
rnacentral:lncRNA from 1 species